AAGGUUCCGCGCGUUGUAUCGAUUUAAACCACAUGCUCCACCGCUUGUAUGAGCCCCCGUCAAUUCCUUUGAGUUCCAGCCUUGCGACCGUACUCCCCAGGCGGAAUGGUCUCGUUCGAGUGUCUCCCUCCCGACUGAACAGAGGAAGGAGCGCCAUUCAUCGUUGACUGCGUGGACUACAAGGGUAUCUAAUCCUUUUCGCUCCCCACGCCUUCGCAUCUCAACGUCAGAUAGAAAAAAGUCUCCUGCUUUCGCUUUCGGUGUUCUAUGUCAGAUCUAUGAAUCUUAGCCCUCCCUGACACAUUCCGGAAACCUCUUUGUAUCUCAAGAUUUGUGAUCUUUCUUGCGAUUCCAAAGGAAUCUUUGGGCUUUUGCAAAAAAUCAUUGCUCAAAUCCGCCUACAUGCGCUGUACGCCCAGUCAUUCCGAAUAACACUUGCCCCCUUCGUCUUACCGCGGCUGCUGGCACGAAGUUUGCCGGGGCUUCUUUUGAAACUCUUGUCAUGAUCUAAAGUUUCUGAAAAAGAUUUACGACCGAUAUGGCCUUCUUCUCUUACGAAGUAUCGCUGGAUCAAGCUUUCGCCCAUUGUCCAAUAUUCCUUACUGCUGCCUCCAGAUGGAGUCUGGGCCGUCUCUCAGUCCCAAUGUGGCGGGUCAUCCUCUCAGAUCCGCUAAGGGUCAUCGGCUUGGGGAGCUUUUCUCUCUCCAACUACCUGAUCCUCCAUAGGCUCAUCUUUUCAGAAUCGGUCGCCUUCAAAUGUGAAGACGCACCUUGGCAAAAUGAAAAGGUAGAUUCCUAUGUAUUCCUCACCCGUUCGCUGGAAAGAUACACACUGGAAUCUUCCCAACUUGCAUGUAUUACGCAUACUUCUAGCGUUCAUUCUGAGCCAGGAUCAAAC
rnacentral:rRNA from 1 species